GGGGAAUAUUGCACAAUGGGGGAAACCCUGAUGCAGCGACGCCGCGUGGAGGAAGAAGGUCUUCGGAUUGUAAACUCCUGUUGUUGAGGAAGAUAAUGACGGUACUCAACAAGGAAGUGACGGCUAACUACGUGCCAGCAGCCGCGGUAAAACGUAGGUCACAAGCGUUGUCCGGAAUUACUGGGUGUAAAGGGAGCGCAGGCGGGCGAUCAAGUUGGAAGUGAAAUCCAUGGGCUCAACCCAUGAACUGCUUUCAAAACUGGUCGUCUUGAGUAGUGCAGAGGUAGGCGGAAUUCCCGGUGUAGCGGUGGAAUGCGUAGAUAUCGGGAGGAACACCAGUGGCGAAGGCGGCCUACUGGGCACCAACUGACGCUGAGGCUCGAAAGUGUGGGUAGCAAACAGGAUUAGAUACCCUGGUAGUCCACACCGUAAACGAUGAUUACUAGGUGUUGGGAGAUUGACCCUCUCAGUGCCGCAGUUAACACAAUAAGUAAUCCACCUGGGGAGUACGACCGCAAGGUUGAAACUCAAAGGAAUUGACGGGGGCCCGCACAAGCAGUGGAGUAUGUGGUUUAAUUCGACGCAACGCGAAGAACCUUACCAAGUCUUGACAUCCCUUGACGAUGCUGGAAACAGUAUUUCUCUUCGGAGCAAGGAGACAGGUGGUGCAUGGUUGUCGUCAGCUCGUGUCGUGAGAUGUUGGGUUAAGUCCCGCAACGAGCGCAACCCUUAUGGUCAGUUACUACGCAAGAGGACUCUGGCCAGACUGCCGUUGACAAAACGGAGGAAGGUGGGGAUGACGUCAAAUCAUCAUGCCCUUUAUGACUUGGGCUACACACGUACUACAAUGGCGUUAAACAAAGAGAAGCAAGACCGCGAGGUGGAGCAAAACUCAGAAACAACGUCCCAGUUCGGACUGCAGGCUGCAACUCGCCUGCACGAAGUCGGAAUUGCUAGUAAUCGUGGAUCAGCAUGCCAUGGUGAAUACGUUCCCG
rnacentral:rRNA from 1 species